GAUGAACGCUGGCGGCGUGCCUAAUACAUGCAAGUCGAGCGAACAGACGAGGAGCUUGCUCCUCUGACGUUAGCGGCGGACGGGUGAGUAACACGUGGAUAACCUACCUAUAAGACUGGGAUAACUUUGGGAAACCGGAGCUAAUACCGGAUAAUAUAUUGAACCGCAUGGUUCAAUAGUGAAAGACGGUUUUGCUGUCACUUAUAGAUGGAUCCGCGCCGCAUUAGCUAGUUGGUAAGGUAACGGCUUACCAAGGCGACGAUGCGUAGCCGACCUGAGAGGGUGAUCGGCCACACUGGAACUGAGACACGGUCCAGACUCCUACGGGAGGCAGCAGUAGGGAAUCUUCCGCAAUGGGCGAAAGCCUGACGGAGCAACGCCGCGUGAGUGAUGAAGGUCUUCGGAUCGUAAAACUCUGUUAUUAGGGGAGAACAAAUGUGUAAGUAACUAUGCACGUCUUGACGGUACCUAAUCAGAAAGCCACGGCUAACUACGUG
rnacentral:rRNA from 1 species